GGGCUCCUAGGACGCAGCAGUAGGGAAUAUUGCUCAAUGGGGGAAACCCUGAAGCAGCAACGCCGCGUGGAGGAUGAAGGUUUUCGGAUUGUAAACUCCUUUUGUUAGAGAAGAUAAUGACGGUAUCUAACGAAUAAGCACCGGCUAACUCCGUGCCAGCAGCCGCGGUAAUACGGAGGGUGCAAGCGUUACUCGGAAUCACUGGGCGUAAAGAGCGCGUAGGCGGGAUAGCAAGUCAGAUGUGAAAUCCUAUGGCUUAACCAUAGAACUGCAUUUGAAACUGUUACUCUAGAGUAUGUGUGAGG
rnacentral:rRNA from 1 species